rnacentral:rRNA from 1 species
GACAGAGGGUGCAAACGUUGCUCGGAAUCACUGGGCGUAAAGCGCACGUAGGCGGCUUGUUAAGUCAGGGGUGAAAUCCUGGAGCUCAACUCCAGAACUGCCUUUGAUACUGGCGAGCUUGAGUCCGGGAGAGGUGAGUGGAACUGCGAGUGUAGAGGUGAAAUUCGUAGAUAUUCGCAAGAACACCAGUGGCGAAGGCGGCUCACUGGCCCGGUACUGACGCUGAGGUGCGAAAGCGUGGGGAGCGAACAGG